rnacentral:pre_miRNA from 1 species
CAACUACUCCCUCUGUCCCAAAUUUCUUGUCUUAGAUUUGUCUAGAUACGGAUGUAUCUAAUACUAAAAUGUGACUUGAUACAUCCGUAUCUAGACUAAUCUAAGACAAGAAUUUUGGGACGGAGGGAGUACUUU